UCGCGGAUCAGAAUGCCGCGGUGAAUACGUUCCCGGGUCUUGUACACACCGCCCGUCACACCAUGGGAGUCGGAAAUGCCCGAAGUCUGUGACCCAACCUGAGAGGGAGGGAGCAGCCGAAGGCAGGUCUGAUGACUGGGGUGAAGUCGUAACAAGGUAAC
rnacentral:rRNA from 1 species